UCAUCAUGCCCCUUAUGCUUAGGGCUACACACGUGCUACAAUGGGUAGUACAGAGGGUUGCCAAGCCGUAAGGUGGAGCUAAUCCCUUAAAGCUACUCUCAGUUCGGAUUGUAGGCUGAAACUCGCCUACAUGAAGCUGGAGUUACUAGUAAUCGCAGAUCAGAAUGCUGCGGUGAAUGCGUUCCCGGGUCUUGUACACACCGCCCGUCACACCACGGGAGUUGGAGACGCCCGAAGCCGAUUAUCUAACCUUUUGGAAGAAGUCGUCGAAGGUGGAAUCAAUAACUGGGGUGAAGUCGUAACAAGGUAGCCGUAUCGGAAGGUGCGGCUGGAUCACCUCCUUUCUAAGGAGA
rnacentral:rRNA from 1 species